rnacentral:rRNA from 1 species
GAAUAUUGCGCAAUGGACGGAAGUCUGACGCAUCGACGCCGCGUGAGUGAUGAAGGCCUUCGGAUCGUAAAGACCUGUCUUUGGGGAAGAAGGUCUUCGGACUAGACGGUACCCAAUCAUCAAGCCCCCGCUAACUACUCGCCACGAGCCGCGGUAAUACGUAGGGGGCGAGCGUUGUCCGGAAUUACUGGGCGUACAGGGUGCGUAGGCGGCCCUUUAAGUCAGAUGUGAAAGGCCACGGCUUAACCGUGGGAUUGCAUUUGCAACUGGAGGGCUUGAGUGUCGGAGAGGGUAGUGGAAUUCCCAGUGUAGCGGUGAAAUGCGUAGAUAUUGGGAGGAACACCAGUGGCGAAGGCGACUACCUGGACGAUAACUGACGCUGAGGCACGAAAGCUAGGGGAGCAAAC